rnacentral:rRNA from 1 species
AGUGAACGCUGGCGGUAGGCCUAACACAUGCAAGUCGAACGGCAGCACAGUAAGAGCUUGCUCUUACGGGUGGCGAGUGGCGGACGGGUGAGGAAUACAUCGGAAUCUACUUUUUCGUGGGGGAUAACGUAGGGAAACUUACGCUAAUACCGCAUACGACCUACGGGUGAAAGCAGGGGAUCUUCGGACCUUGCGCGAUUGAAUGAGCCGAUGUCGGAUUAGCUAGUUGGCGGGGUAAAGGCCCACCAAGGCGACGAUCCGUAGCUGGUCUGAGAGGAUGAUCAGCCACACUGGAACUGAGACACGGUCCAGACUCCUACGGGAGGCAGUAGUGGGGAAUAUUGCACAAUGGGCGCAAGCCUGAUCCAGCCAUACCGCGUGGGUGAAGAAGGCCUUCAGGUUGUAAAGCCCUUUUGUUGGGAAAGAAAAGCAGCAGGUUAAUACCCCGCUGUUCUGACGGUACCCAAAGAAUAAGCACCGGCUAACUUCGUG